rnacentral:miRNA from 1 species
UAAUCUCAUCUGGUAAUUGAAGU